rnacentral:rRNA from 1 species
GACGAACGCUGGCGGCGUGCUUAACACAUGCAAGUCGAACGGAAAGGCCCUGCUUUUGUGGGGUGCUCGAGUGGCGAACGGGUGAGUAACACGUGAGUAACCUGUCCUUGACUUUGGGAUAACUUCAGGAAACUGGGGCUAAUACCGGAUAGGAGCUCCUGCUGCAUGGUGGGGGUUGGAAAGUUUCGGCGGUUGGGGAUGGACUCGCGGCUUAUCAGCUUGUUGGUGGGGUAGUGGCUUACCAAGGCUUUAACGGGUAGCCGGCCUGAGAGGGUGACCGGCCACAUUGGGACUGCGAUACGGCGCAGACUCGUACGGGAGGCAGUAGUGGGGAAUAUUGCACAAUGGGCGGAAGCCUGAUGCAGCAACGCCGCGUGCGGGAUGACGGCCUUCGGGUUGUAAACCGCUUUCGCCUGUGACGAAGCGUGAGUGACGGUAAUGGGUAAAGAAGCACCGGCUAACUACGUG